rnacentral:rRNA from 1 species
UACGUAGGGGGCAAGCGUUAUCCGGAAUCACUGGGCGUAAAGGGUGCGUAGGCGGCCUGACAAGUCAGAGGUGAAAGGCUACGGCUUAACCGUAGUAAGCCUUUGAAACUGUUGGGCUUGAGUGCAGGAGAGGUAAGUGGAAUUCCUAGUGUAGCGGUGAAAUUCGUAGAUAUCGGGAGGAAUACCGGUGGCGAAGGCGGCUAACUGGACCGGAACUGACGCUGAGGCACGAAAGCGUGGGGAGCAAACA